UACAGAGGGUGCAAGCGUUAAUCGGAAUUACUGGGCGUAAAGGGCUCGUAGGCGGCCAACUAAGUCAUACGUGAAAUCCCUCAGCUUAACUGGGGAACUGCGUGUGAUACUGGAUGGCUUGGAUUUGGGAGAGGGAUGCGGAAUUCCAGGUGUAGCGGUGAAAUGCGUAGAUAUCUGGAGGAACACCGGUGGCGAAGGCGGCAUCCUGGACCAAUAUUGACGCUGAGGAGCGAAAGCUAGGGGAGCAAACGGG
rnacentral:rRNA from 1 species